GACGAACGCUGGCGGCGUGACUAAUACAUGCAAGUAGGACGCAGUUGCGAACGGGCGAGUAACGCGUAGGUAACUGCCUAUUAUAGGGGGAUAACUAUUGGAAACGAUAGCUAAUACCGCAUACUAGUAGAUGGACCUGUGUUGUAUUAGCUAGUAGGUCGGGUAAUGGCCUACCUAGGCGACGAUACAUAGCCGACCGGAGACGGUGAUCGGCCCCACUUGGACUGGGACACGGCCCAGACUGCUACGGGAGGCAGCAGUAGGGAAUCUUCGGCAAUUGGGGGAACCCUGACCGAGCAACGCCGCGUGAGUGAAGAAGGUUUUCGGAUCGUAAAGCUCUGUUGUUAAGGAAGCGGUACUUAACCAGAAAGUGACGGCUAACUACGUGCCAGCAGCCGCGGUAAUAC
rnacentral:rRNA from 1 species